rnacentral:tRNA from 1 species
GGUUGUAUAGUGUAGUGGAUAGCACGCCAGAUUCUGAUCAUUCUGAUUUCUGGCGACCCCGGUUCGAUCCCGGGUACGACCU